UUACCGGAGUCGUUUUCCGGACACCGAGCAGAACGGACGUAUUAUUCUUCGUUCCUCGCAAGAAUAUCGUAUUGUUUAAUAGAUUAAUUAAUUUUGUUUAAAUAAUUAUAAAUUAUAGUGAUUAUAUUAGUGAUUAUUGUGAUUAUUGUAAAGAAAAAGUGCAUCGUUAAAAAACGAGUGGGUGUAAAAAUUGUGGAUAAAAAAUUUGAAGUGUAAUUUUUUUUAAAAUUCUUACAAUUAUGAAAAUAUUUAAGUUGCGUCAUCGAAGUUUUUUAACGAGAGGAAUCAGCCUGGCGGGGAAAUUAGGCUGGCGACACAAUGGACGGCCAGGUAUUACAGGAUCCCCCUCGGUCUUAAAAUCACCAUCCAUCACCCGGAUCGGACGGUUGCCUACGUCUAAUAUUAUUAUCAUAAUGUCAUCCUCCCCCCGUCCAUUGUGGGAAGGGGAUCGACGCCCCACAAUGGCGCGAGAAACGCGCGAGAUUUGUCUCGUUGUCGACACGUUUGACAAAUAAUAAAUCGUUAUACGCGCUUCGGCGUUA